rnacentral:lncRNA from 1 species
UUUUUUUUUUUUUUUUUUUUUUUUGGCUCUCCUAAUCCUUUCCAGUUUCAAGUAACAGCCAUGUUACUGUAUUUAUUUUGUGAUUUCGUCGGCAUGCAUAUUUUCUCUUAGACUUUAAAGCAAUCAAUAAGCAUUUUGUUGAGUUCUCUUUAUACUCUCUGAGCUGUGCUAGCUGAUCUAGGAGAUGCAGUAGAACUAUUUAUAUCAUGGUAUUUUCCCUAAAAAUCAUUAAAACCAGAGAACAAGGUAAAAUAAAUGAAAGAACAGGGACCAGUGGAUCCUGAGCUUCUGCUGUAUUCAGCCGGUCUUUUGCCUUCAAUAACAAAAAAAAUGGUGGUGAUGUAUCAGAUUUGUAUUAAUAGAAGACUAGGAUUUUGAAAGAAGAAAAGUGAUGGUUUCAUUCUAUUCAAGGGUGAUCAGACUGCAUCUGGAAUAAAACUUUCCCUCUUGGACUCUUCAAUUGAAGAGGAGGUAGACAAGCUGAUAUGUGUCCUGAGGAUAAUGAAAAAUUCCAAGACCUUGUAACAUAAAGAAAGAUUAGAGAAUAAUAUAGAUGUUAACCUAAAGAAGCGGGAAUAUAGGAGGAAGCGUGAAAGCUGUCUUCAAAUACUGGAAGGCCUUGCAGAGUGAUUGUGUAAAUAGGAUGAAGCUCCUAUAGAAAUAUAUACACCAGUGUCUCUAAAAGCAAUGACCUGAGGGAACAAAUGAGGUCCCGUCAAUGUCUGGAUUUUAUUUAACUGCCCCUCCCUACUUGCCUAGCUGCAGGGUUUGGCUGUACCUCUUGAUUCAUCCCUAUUGAUGUCCGUGUGUCCUCAGAAUAUUUUCUUAGCACUGCCCAUUUGUCCCUUCUUGUUUGUUUCUGCUGUCACUGUUACUAGAGUCCAGUUUCUUAUUCACGGAACCGAAGAAUGAACGUCUAGAACACACUCACGCAGGCAGCAAGCAAGCAGGAGUCUUCACUACAGGAAAGCAAAGAGCUCUCAGCACAGGCACUGAGAGGGGAAGGAAGAGUCCCCCCCCUCUAAUUUUCUAAUGGUGUUUCGUUUCUUAAAGACGGAAGUACCGACGUGGGGCCCAAAUAUCCGUUCUUUUUCCCAUUGGCCCUGUCCAGUCUACCAGUAUCAGUUCUUGUCAAUAGGGGUUUUAGAGGUGGAUAUGCCCCGUAAGUUUUAUGGUUUUUAUGGUUUGUUCUUCUUUUCCCGAGGCUGGGAGUCAUGGGGAGUUGCCAUUCCUCUCAUUCCUUUUCUAUCCGUUGAGCAGUGGGUUAGAGAUUAACAUCCAUCUGGACAUAAAAUAGAUACUACUCCCUGUAGUAAACAAGGCCAGUGGGGAUGUUAUUCCCUGAAACCCUUAAGUUACAGAAGUUAAUUAAUGACCAUAUCAAAGAAUAUAUGGAAGCCCAUGUUCCUUCACUAACUACCUGAAUUAUUAUUCUGCCUCAUCACCUCUAUAGCCCAUGAGCCUCAUGAGCAAAGUACCUCACUUCUACCAAUGCUGCUGGUGGAAACUCUGCUUCCCUGCCAAGCUGCUGCAAAGCUUCAAAACCAUUGAAAUGCAAAAAUCUAUGGGUCCUUUAGGCUUAACCUGUUGCUGCUGCGUUGCUGUCAAUAAGGAGACCUUCCCCUCUCCCAGGAAAGUCCAAGACCUAGUUGCUGGGGUAAAACUGAAGACCAGAUUCCUUUCCAUCGCACCCCAGACAGCUCAGCAAAAAUUUCUCUUUUACAAAAUCUCUUUCCAUCCAUGAAGUAUCUAUUCAUGGAGCAUGAUACCUGGAUAAGAGGGGCUGAGAUGACAUCAGUUUCACACGCUCAGAGUCAGGAUUGAGCGCUGGUCAGAGAAAGCUAGGACUGGUGAAGGAAGCUGCUGGAGAUGCCUCAAAAAAGGGAUGACUAGUAAACAGUUGGGGCUUUUAUCAAUUCAGAUGUGCUACCUGGAGAAUUCUUCCCCAUCACUGUUCCAGUUUAAGUGUACACUUAAUGCACAUUUGUUGUAAAGUGGCCUGAAGAAGAUGCAAGCAGCUGAUGCGUGUUUGGACUAGAUAACCUUAAAGAUUUCUCCCAAUCCCAAGACUGUAGGAGUCUAACCCUCUCUGUUCGCUUGGACAGUGAGCUAGGAUGUUGGUGAUGGAGCCGGAUCUGCAUGGACACCGACAACACAGGCGUCACCACAGACCUAAAAAUUAAUCAAAAACAAGGGUCAGAAUGUCUAUGGGUGCUCUUCUUAGUGCUGUCUGUCCAACUGUGAUGUGUGGACAGUCUGCAUUAGAAAUCACCUGAAGAACUUAUUAAAGUUUUAGAUUCUUAGGAUGAGAGCUUAGAAACACUGUCUUUCUAUUAGAAAGCAGUUCUCUCCACUGGAACUUUCCCGCAGGGCUGGCAAUGUUCCAUUAUCUACGCUGUCCAGGAACCGUAACCACAAGCCAUGUGAGCCUAUGGAAUAUUUCAGAUGUGGCUGGUGUAACUGAGGAACCAAAAUUUUAAGUUUAGGUCAUUUUAAUCAAUUGCAAUAGCCAUGUGUAGCUGGGGGCUAUCCUGUGGAACAGCAGGGUUCUGAAGUCUUCAAAGAAGGAAGCUUAGAGAAGAGUAAGUUUGAGUUGCAUGGGAGUGACAGCAGGCAAUUGAAGCAAAAGCAUGAGAUUGGAACCAGGAUGCUGCAAAAAUCAAAGAGAAUUAUAACAGGAAGCGACCUGAAAGAUCUUCUGGUAAAUAGCUCAUAACCUCUUUGAGGUUUGGGAACCCUUUGAGAAUUGUUGAAAGCAAUGGACAUUCAUAGUCGGUAAUCUGCUCAUAGUAAUUCAUAUGAUAGAUUUAUAUGAGGUUUCGAGGCUAGAGAGUUAGUAAUCCCGAAAGCUUAUCCAUUGUCCCCUUUCCAAACCACAAAUCCCUAUUUGGGAAUUCCUGACAUAGUAAAAUACCCCUCCAUCUAUAGACAAAGAAAACUAAAACACAGACUUUCAGGAUUGGCUCCAACCCAUUCAUUCAUCACCAAACUUGGCUUCUCUUUUCUCCCUGUCCUGUCCUCUGUACAUCUUUCUCUGCCCAUAAUCAGGUCAGCUUGUGUUUUAUAUGAAUAGUGGAACUAGCUAAGAUUUACCCACAAAAGUCAGGAAUUGGAGUAAGCCCACUUGGAUUUACUUGGAAGUGCAGUAUUUUUUGCAACACUUAACCUUGUUCUCCUGUUUUGGGAAAUGCAGGAGCCAUUCGUUCGAUAUUCGAAAUGCAGGAAGAACAAGGUGCAUUUGAUUAUUUUUCCUUUCUCUUGUAAGAAUGAAAUGCGGUUAAAAUGCGUCAAUAAAGAAACGUCUUGCUUGUUGGUGUUUGAUUAGGAGAGCAUUUAUGCAAUUGAUUUUCCAAGCUCUCAGUCAUAUAGCAGAAAGGUCCCCAUACCUUUUCAGGAGUAUUAACUGGUAAAAAAUAGGUUUUGGUUGCUGGGUAAAUACCAAUUUGCAGCAAUUGGAAAGAAAAAUUUAGCAUGACUGUUUACAUACGAUGUAGAGAGAAUAUGAACAUCACCUUUAGCUACCGUUGUUUGCUUGUAAGUACAGAAGGGAGAAAAGCCAAUGCUUAAUACAACACGUAGAACUCACAUUUGCUAUUGUUACGUUCAUAAAUAUUAAUCUAGAGAGAUAAUUAGCUCCAUAAAUUUUACAAUUAGCCUUUCAGAAAAGAAGUGGAUGCUAAUAAAAUGAAGGCAUGCUUUUCAGCAUCUCCACUGCCAGCAUUUUCACUCUAACAGCUCUGAGUCGGUCCGUCUGUGUUUAAUCUUUUCCUGAAAUAGGCAUGCUUUACACUCAUUCCAUCUCCCCCUUGGGACUAUAGCCUUGCAACAGGGAAAAUAGGCUUCUGUUCUUAAAAUCUAGUUAUCAGCUACUUUAAAAACUUUUUUUUUUCCCUCUGAAAUAGCCUGGGAUGACCAAGAGGUCAUGGCUUACCCCCCACAGAGAUUGCUCCACUUCAGACCAAGGGAAAUCUACAGAAGUGUAUCCCCCGGGUGAAAUCAACAUGUUUAUAUUUGCCUGCUCUUCUGUUCAUAAACAUUUAUUUUUAUCGUUAUUAUUGUUUGUAGUCUUUUUAGGGCGGCACCCGCAGCCUGUGGAGGUUGCCAGGCUAGGGUUCAAAUCAGAGCUGUAGCUGCUGGCUUACACCACAGCCACAGCAAUGCCAGAUCCUUAACCCACUGAGUGAGGCCAAGGAUCAAACCUGAGCCCUCAUGGAUGCUAGUCAGAUUCGUUUCCACUGAGCCACGAAGGGAACUCCUGCCCAUACAGUUUUAAAGCAAUACUCUAGUCCUUAAAUCUAAGAGUUAAAUCCUACCGUUUAAUGUCAGUUGCAGAGUAGGAAGAUAUUGAUCCCAAAGACUUUGUUGACACCCCUUUCUAGAAACUAUGCAGUGUCACGGGAAAGCUAUUCCAUUGGAAGUCAGCAGUUCUAAGACCUAGUCCUAUUGAUCUUAUUAAUCUUAUUGUAAACUUGAGUGAAUCACAUAAUUUAUUUUUCCUUGCAAUUAAAACGUCGGCUUGAUCAGUGGAUUCCUAAGAUGUCUGUACAUUAAAAUCUGCUGAAAGGCAGACUCCUGGGCCCCUUCCCAGCACUACUAAGUCAGAAUUUUCAAAGAGGUGGGUCCAUGCAUCUUUUUUUUUUUUUUAAAGCAAUUUCCUCUAGUGGUUCUCAUAUGCCCAAAGGAGCCAAGUGGUUUUUCUAUGGCAGCUAAUGAAUUCAGGGUCUCUACUAUUCCUGCCUAUCCUUAGUACCUGUGAUGGAAAUGUUUCCACCGAUUGACGUAGGUGACAGGAAGGAGACUUCUGGAAGAUAGGGCUUGCUCACCUGGAUCAUGCAAAUAAAAUACAAAGGGUAAGCAGAACCGGGGGUUGGCUGUGGCCUUUCCUAUUCACUCAAGGUAAUAUCUUAACUGUGCAAUGAAAGCGGUUAUAAGACUGGUCAAAAUUUUCCCUUGAGGCAGCCUGGAACAUUCCCAGGAUGGGAAAUCAUUUCCCUCUCUCACGCCAGCCAUAACUGAUGGAUGGCAGAGUCUGAAACCCUGUGUUGUAAAGGGCAGCAAGGUCAGGGCGAGGGCCAGCUGAGAAAAAGCACCAGGUGAAUGGUUAAUGCAUAAGCAUCACCUGCUUUUAGACCCCGUAAGAAGUCUGAAACUUGCCAGCUUGGGAGACCUGGAUACAAACCCGAAGCCUACCAUUCACAGACAUGUCACCUUGAGGCGGCCUCCUCCUCGGUUUCCACAUCCAUUAAAAAAAAUAGGGGUAAUAAAACUUAUCUCAUAAAACAGUCUGAAGACUAAAUCAAUGGUGUUUGAAAAGCUCAUAACUUAAAAGGUAAAAAAAUAUUCAUUCUUUAUUCCCCCACUUCCCUUGAGCAAAGACUCACAUCUGAUCUAUCAACAUGGCUUGCAAUUAAGCCAGUGCCAUACCUGGACGAUGAGAGGUGCUGAAUAAUUACAAAUGGAUAAUGAAUGAGUAAUAAAAGAAAACACACAUGUGUGUUCUGUGUCCCUGGCACUGAUCUAAGCCCUUGAAAAACUCAUCUAUUCACAUCUACCCUUUUACAGAUGAAUAAACCUCAGGCGCAAAGAGGUGAAACAUCCAGCCCAGAGUGACAUAGUUAAUGACUGCGUUCCAGCAGCCAUGCUCGGAAGCACGUUGCCCCUGCUACUGUUGGGACCCAGGUGAGGAAGGAAAGGGAGUUCCUAUCAGUGAAAGAGAGGUCAACAGGCAUUCUCAUUGUGGCUCAGCGGUAACGAACCCAGUUAUUAUCCACGGGGACACAGGUUCGAUCCCGGGUCUCACUCAGUGGGUUAAGGAUCCAGCAUUGCCAUGACCUGCGGUGUAGGUCGCAGA